GCAGUGGGGAAUAUUGCACAAUGGGCGCAAGCCUGAUGCAGCCAUGCCGCGUGUAUGAAGAAGGCCUUCGGGUUGUAAAGUACUUUCAGCAGUGAGGAAGGUGGUAGUGUUAAUAGCACUAUCAUUUGACGUUAGCUGCAGAAGAAGCACCGGCUAACUCCGUGCCAGCAGCCGCGGUAAUACGGAGGGUGCGAGCGUUAAUCGGAAUUACUGGGCGUAAAGCGCAUGCAGGUGGUUUGUUAAGUCAGAUGUGAAAGCCCGGGGCUCAACCUCGGAAUUGCAUUUGAAACUGGCAGACUAGAGUACUGUAGAGGGGGUAGAAUUUCAGGUGUAGCGGUGAAAUGCGUAGAGAUCUGAAGGAAUACCGGUGGCGAAGGCGGCCCCCUGGACAGAUACUGACACUCAGAUGCGAAAGCGUGGGGAGCAAACAGGAUUAGAUACCCUGGUAG
rnacentral:rRNA from 1 species